rnacentral:rRNA from 1 species
CGCGGCCUAUCAGCUUGUUGGUGAGGUAACGGCUCACCAAGGCAUCGACGGGUAGCUGGUCUGAGAGGACGAUCAGCCACACUGGGACUGAGACACGGCCCAGACUCCUACGGGAGGCAGCAGUAGGGAAUCUUGCGCAAUGGGCGAAAGCCUGACGCAGCAACGCCGCGUGGGGGAUGAAUGCCUUCGGGUUGUAAACCCCUUUCAGCAGGGACGAAAAUGACGGUACCUGCAGAAGAAGCUCCGGCCAACUACGUGCCAGCAGCCGCGGUAAUACGUAGGGAGCGAGCGUUGUCCGGAAUUAUUGGGCGUAAAGAGCUCGUAGGCGGUUCAGUAAGUCGGGUGUGAAAACUCAAGGCUCAACCUUGAGACGCCACUCGAUACUGCUGUGACUUGAGUCCGGUAGAGGAGUGUGGAAUUCCUGGUGUAGCGGUGAAAUGCGCAGAUAUCAGGAGGAACACCAGCGGCGAAGGCGGCACUCUGGGCCGGUACUGACACUGAGGAGCGAAAGCAUGGGGAGCAAACAGGAUUAGAUACCCUGGUAGUCCAUGCCGUAAACGUUGGGCACUAGGUAUGGGAUCAUAUCAACGGAUUCCGUGCCGUAGCUAACGCAUUAAGUGCCCCGCCUGGGGAGUACGG